AAAUUUAAUAUUUGUACAUAUGAAAUUCCUAUUUUAUGCUUUGUGAAUGGAAUUAUUAAUUAUUCUGAGUUGAUAAAUUUGAUUUGGAUUAUGGAACUGUUUUGAAAUGAAUUGAUUGGAGUUGAAUUGUGAUUUAUUGGAGGUUGGGAGUUGUGAAAUAUUUUGGAAGUGCUUUUUACAAGUCUUUGAAGAACUGGUUUCUCAAAAU
rnacentral:misc_RNA from 1 species